rnacentral:ncRNA from 15 species
GGCCUAUUAGCUCAGUUGAUUAAAGCAUCGUGCUAAUAACGCGAAGAUCGCAGGUUUAAGGCCUGCAUGGGCCA